rnacentral:rRNA from 1 species
GACGAACGCUGGCGGCGUGCUUAACACAUGCAAGUCGAACGGUGGACGAGGAGCUUGCUCCUCCGAUCAGUGGCGAACGGGUGAGUAACACGUGAGUAACCUGCCCCAGACCCUGGGAUAACAGUUGGAAACAGCUGCUAAUACCGGAUACGAGACGGAGAGGCAUCUCUACCGUCUGGAAAGAUUUAUCGGUCUGGGAUGGACUCGCGGCCUAUCAGCUUGUUGGUGAGGUAAAGGCUCACCAAGGCGACGACGGGUAGCCGGCCUGAGAGGGCGACCGGCCACACUGGGACUGAGACACGGCCCAGACUCCUACGGGAGGCAGCAGUGGGGAAUAUUGCACAAUGGGCGAAAGCCUGAUGCAGCGACGCCGCGUGAGGGAUGACGGCCUUCGGGUUGUAAACCUCUUUCAGCAGGGAAGAAGCGAAAGUGACGGUACCUGCAGAAGAAGCACCGGCUAACUACGUG